CUUGGUCAUUUAGAGGAAGUAAAAGUCGUAACAAGGUUUCCGUAGGUGAACCUGCGGAAGGAUCAUUACAAGUGAGGCUACCGAACGUUGGAAACAGCGGUUAGGAGCUUACACCCACCCGUGUUUACAUACUAUUGUUGCUUUGGCGGGCCGUGGCCUCCACUGCGGGCUCUGCUCGUGUGUGCCCGCCAGAGAACCAAACUCUGAAUGUUAGUGAUGUCUGAGUACUAUCUAAUAGUUAAAACUUUCAACAACGGAUCUCUUGGUUCUGGCAUCGAUGAAGAACGCAGCGAAAUGCGAUAAGUAAUGUGAAUUGCAGAAUUCAGUGAAUCAUCGAAUCUUUGAGCGCACAUUGCGCCCUGUGGUAUUCCGCAGGGCAUGCCUGUUCGAGCGUCAUUUAACCACUCACGCCUAGCGUGGUAUUGGGGCACGCGGUCUCCGCGGCCCUCAAAAUCAGUGGCGGCGCCGGUGGGCUCUAAGCGUAGUACAUACUCCCGCUAUAGAGUUCCCCCCGGUGGCUCGCCAGAACCCCCAAUUUUUUACAGGUUGACCUCGGAUCAGGUAGGGAUACCCGCUGAACUUAAGCAUAUCAAUAAGCGGAGGA
rnacentral:rRNA from 1 species